GUGAGAGCGAUCUGGCUGCGACAUCUGUCACCCCAUUGAUCGCCAGAGUUGAUUUGGCUGAUCCGGCUGGCUAGGCGGGUGUCCCCUUCCUCCCUCACGGCUCCAUGUGCAUCACUCCUUGAAGCUGGGAGCUUUUGGUGGAAGAGGACGGCCUUCCCCGAUACCUCGGUCAAGGGUAUACAAGUAGCUGUGCUCCCCUGCUAGAACCUCCAAACAAGCAUUAAUAGCUAACAAUAAAACCCAAAUAUUGCCUUUCAGAGAUAGAUUUUUACUUCAUUUUCCUCU
rfam:Loxodonta africana unplaced genomic scaffold scaffold_6, whole genome shotgun sequence.